AUGGUCAUGGCGAAAGCAUUGCAAAUCCAUGAGCAGGAACGUGCUAUCUGGAGAAUAUUCGUCAGGAAGGAUGCUGUCCCAUCCAAAGAACUCCAAAACAGAAAUGAGAGAGAGGCACAAGAGAAAGUAGACAAAGAACUAAGACAGAAAUUUGGUAUUGUGAAAGAUAUAAGAAUACAUCUCAAGAGGAUAAAUCCCAGUGAACUUAAAGAAGAUUUUGACUAAGCUUCUACAUUUGAAUGGAAGUUUCCCAGGAAUGCUGCUUUCCCAUCCGAAGAAUCUCAAAGGAGAAUCAAGAAAGUAGCACAGCAGAAAGAAAACAAUGAACUAAGAAGGAAAUUUGGUAUCAUUAAAGAUAUAAUAAUCCAUCUUGAGAGGUUAAAAUUUCCAUGAAAUUCAGAUGUUUCUCAGCAGCAAAGUUAACAAUCAAUAAAAAGUUACUGUUUUUCUUUGAUCUAUUAUCU
rnacentral:lncRNA from 1 species